AUCAGGCGAAGUUUAGCGUUUUUCGAGCGUUAUUUGUGCGGAUUUCAAUGUAGAGCGGGCUUGAAAUUUGAUCGUUACACAUUAAUAAACACAAAGCGAGAGUGAAUUUAGGUUUCCGAUUUAGUUUGCUUUGAAUAUCUUCGUUUGUAUUGUAUGUAUGGCUGUAAAACUUUAGGGAUUUGUAGUCGAACACAUGAACUUUGCUUGGGAGUUGUCUCAGCAGCCAAGGUGAAGUAAAAGCUGAAAUACGGGCAUUUUUGCAGGCGUAUACUCAAGAUGCUAGACCCGCACAUGUACCAUGCAAAGCUCUGUUGGAUCUGCUGCGUUACACAAGCAAACAACAGCGACUGUCUUCAAGUUUUUUAUUCCUGUUCUUUUAAAAACGAACAUUUAACGCUGUCUCUUGGCAUAAGGUGUAUUUAAGCCCUACUCAAUAAAUGAGCAUAAUGGAAGUUUCUAA